rnacentral:rRNA from 1 species
AACACGUAAUGUCGCAUGACGUUUCAUUGAAAGACGGCUCAGGCUGUCGCUACAGGAUGGGCCCCCGGCGCAUUACCUAGUUGGUGAGGUAACGGCUCACCAAGGCGACGAUGCGUAGCCAACCUGAGAGGGUGAUCGGCCACACUGGGACUGAAACACGGCCCAAACUCCUACGGGAGGCACCAGUAGGGAAUCUUCCGCAAUGGACGAAAGUCUGACGGAGCAACGCCGCGUGAGCGAAGAAGGCCUUCGGGUCGUAAAGCUCUGUUGUUAGGGAAGAACAAGUAACGCAGUAACUGGCGCUACCUUGACGGUACCUAACGAGAAAGCCACGGCUAACUACGUGCCAGCAGCCGCGGUAAUACGUAGGUGGCAAGCGUUGUCCGGAAUUAUUGGGCGUAAAGCGCGCGCAGGCGGUUCUCUGAUGUGAAAGCCCACGGCUCAACCGUGGAGGGUCAUUGGAAACUGGGAUACUUGAGUGCAGAAGAGGAGAGCGCACGUGUAGCGGUGAAAUGCGUAGAGAUGUGGAGGAACACCAGUGGCGAAGGCGACUCUCUGGUCUGUAACUGACGCUGAUGUCGCGAAGCGUGAGGAGCACACAGGAUUAGAUACCCUGGUAGUCCACGCCGUAAACGAUGAGUGCUAAGUGUUAGAGGGUUUCCACCCUUUAGUGCUGUAGCUAACGCACACUCCGCCUGGGGAGUACGAUCGCAAGAGUGAAACUCAAAGGAAUUGACGGGGGCCCGCACAAGCGGUGGAGCAUGUGGUUUAAUGCAACGCGAAGAACCUUACCAGGUCUUGACAUCCUCUGACAACCCCUAGAGAUAGGGCGUUCCCCUUUCGGGGAGACAGGGAGACGGGGGGCGUGUGUGUGUCCUCCGCGCGUGGCGAGAUGUGGUGGUAUAUCUCCCAACGCGAGCACCCCUUUCGAUUUUAUGCGCCCAUUUUCUUGGGGGCUCUCUGAUGAGAGCGGGGGACAAACCGGAGAAGGGGGGGGAGGAGACCUCAUCUCCUCGCGCCUUAUAAGAUGGGGUACACACGUGUUACAAUGUGGGAGACACAGGGGGUCGCGAACCCGAGAGGGGGAACCUCUCCCAAAAAGGCUCUCUCUUCUGAGAGUGGACGGCGCCUCUCCUCCGUGAGACUGGAGUCUCUAUUCACAUAUCAACGCGCCGCGGAGAAUAUUCUCG